UAUUCUUCUCGGGAUUGGUGGUUAAAAAAGAAAAAAAAGAAAAAAAGAAAAGAAAAAAAGGAAAAUCUCACCACAGAGCUCUCAAUUCCUCUAUAAAUAUGAGGCUCUUCUUCUUCUUCCCCUAAAACCUAACUCUCUAUUUCUCCCCUCUUUCUCUCUCUAGGGUUCGAUACCCUAAUUUCUUUCCUUUUUCAGUUGCUGUUCCUAUGGCGGUUCUCACAAAUAAUGCCUCUGUUUGUAUUCUUCCACAGCUUUCUUGAACUGCAUCAUUCCUGAGCCCAAAUUCGCUCUCAAUUUCCCUCUCUCUCUCUCUCUCUCUCUCUCAAAGCGUUUUUUGUUCAUUAAUCUCUUGCGGUUCAAUAAAGCUGUGGGAAGAUACAGACAGGGUCAAAUCAAUUUCAUAAUUCUUCAAUUAUCUUCAAAUCGCUGGCUGCUAUCGGUAUAUAUUUCUUCAAUUUCUUCAAUUAUAUUUAUAUAUGAUUGAUGAAUUUCCCUUUAUUUUGUGAUUUUCCUUUUCAGAAACGGUAAAUUGAUUUUAGGUCAUUUUCUUCCUGAAUUUACUCCGAGGAAUAUGUGAGGAUCAAAGUCAAAAAGAGGGUUUGGAUUAUUUGUUUGUCUGAGUUUUGAUGGAAAAAAGGGUGAAGAUUUCUUGUGCUUUGUGAGAGGUUAGAAAUUCGAAAAAUUGAGAUUAGCGAAGUAAAUUAAUUAAAAUGGUUUAAUUAGAACAGCAAGUUCCUCGGUGUUAACGCAUAAUUCCUUGUCUCCUUUUGUCAUUUUAUACUUAAAAAAAAAAGAGAGAAUUAAAAAAAGAGAACAGCAAGUUUUAUUCUUCUCUUUCCAAAUUUGAGAAUUAAAAAAAACAUGUUUUAGUUCACAAUUUUAUUAUACUUUUUUCAAGUAUAAUUUAAAUUGAUAUUCUGCAUAAUAACAUUGUUGAACAAUUGAAUAUGAUGAUGAUAUUUAUUCAUUUAUUCAUUGUUUAUCUCACACAUUCUCUACUUGACUUUAAAAACCUUUAUUAGGUCACCAAAAAGAUAUUUCCUUUGUACCUUACUCAAAUAAAAGGAAAAAUCCACUGAAUAUGGUUUAUAAUAAAGCCACACUACCAUUUUGUCUUACACUUAAAAGUACUAUGUAUUGAAGAGAUUCAAAAUUAGUGUAUACUGAUAUGACCAAAUUACAUAUUUCAACACAUUAGAUUUACGUUUAAGUACAUCCAAAAUUUCAGUUGUAUCAAAAUCAAGUACUCAUAAGCACAGUCAAAUCACAUUUUGAAUGAGAGGAAGGGAAAGAGGGAGUUGUUUGAAGCAAAGGAAAAGACAAAAUGAAAGUUAAAAAAAAAAUGAUGUGAAAAGGAGGAGAGAGAUAAUGUUGAUACAAAAUGAAAAAGAAAGAAAAGAAAAUUCAAUUUAUACCUUGAAAUUUUGAGUUGUAUUAAUUAAGAUAAAUAAUUAUUAAUUAAAUUAAUUUUAAUUCUAAAUUUUUAUGAUUCUAUUGAAUUAACAAGAGGAAUCAUCAUAUGAUAAAAAAGAAAAAAAUAUAUGAGUGGAUGAAAAAUCACUACUAUCCGUUUCAAUCAAAUAUCUCUCGCUUAAAAAAGUUUUACGUACGUAUGAAAUAUAUUAACGGCUGUAAAAUAAAAUAUUAACGGAGAGUUCUGAUUUAAAAAAAAAAAAAAAAUUAGGAGAGAGGAGACAGUAUUUGUACUUCGUGGGAGUACAAAAAUACCAAAUUGCAAUAAAAUUUCUAAAUAAAUGAAUAAAGUUUGGCAUACAUGGUAACAAAUGUAAAUAAAUUAUUCCUAGAAAAUUACAAAUAAAUGUAAAUAAAUCAAUUGAUUAUUGAUUAAAGAAAAAGAAAAGUAAUAUUGUCCAGAUUUUGACCCCCUUCCUGCGCCAGCCGCUUGUUUACUGCUUUGUAUAAAUACCACCAAUUAUCAAUAUCGACAUCAGCUUUCUCUCACUUUUCAACCUAUUAUUUAGGUUUGAACUCGUGAACUGAACCAAACCGAAUCGAUUUGAACGAAACUAUUUGUUGACAAAAUGCCAAUGAAUACUCUCUGCUGGAAGAAGAUAGAGACAGAAAAAAGAGUAGAGCCUACCUAGCUACCUAACCUAAUAUAAUACAUUAAAUUGAAGAAAAAUUAUCAUGAACUAAACUAAAUUACACGAGUAUGAAAUCUAUUAAACCCAAUUGUUUCUUGGUUUAAUUUGAAUUAUGAUGAGUGAAAAAUGGUGAAAGGUGGGUAAAAAGAUAUAGAGUGAGAUACAGAAGGGAGAAAGAGUGAAAGACAGACAGUGGUUAAAAAAAGGGUAGUGGGUCAAAUAUUGACAAAAUUAGACCUUUUUCACAGAAAUGUAGGAGCAUAUAAGGGGGGGAAAAUAAAAUUAAAAUAUUAACAAAAAUUGUUUACAUAUAUAAUUUUUUUUUUUUUUUUUUUUUUUUUUUUUAUAAAAAAAGUGGCAGUGGCAGAACUGAGAGAGGGCAGAAGCAGUCUACUCUACAUGAAGAUCAGUAUCAUGAUUGAAGAUAAAAAAGAAAAGUUGGGGAAUCUUCUCUGCAGAGUAAUUCCCUUUUCACCCUAUUUUAAUUUUAAUUUUUAUUGAAUGAAUCUCCAAUUAAUCUUCUCUCAACAUUAAGGUACUAAAAGUAAUAUUUAAGUUUCAUGUAAAUCCAUACUCACAUGAAAAAUAAUUUUUUACUGCACAAUAGAUAGAUGGUCAUUUGAAAAUUAAAAUUCUCCAUUGUUUAAUUAAUUAAUUACAUGUAUUAAUAAAAGCUCUCUCCCCAUGCAUGGUUCAAACGUGUUGCAGUACCUAAACAAAAGUUACAAAUUUGAAUAAUUCCUUCCUCAACUCUUUUCUUUUCGUUCUUCAUCCUUGUCUCUUGACUUUAAAAAUAUAUAUAUAUAUAUAUAUAUAUAUAUAUAUAUAUAAUGGAGAAAUGCAGAAAAUGAAGAUAAAAAAGAGCAGGAAGGAAAAAUAUAUAAAAAGAAAAUUAUAAUACCUGGAGGGAAGAAAUUUAGGUAAUGAGAAUUGAGAGAAGAAAGAAGCUUGAAAGUGUCAUGAUUUCCCACAGCUUUCUUGAGCUUCAAAAUUUAUUCGAAAAUUAAAAAGGAAGAAGUUCAAGAAAGCUGUGGAAAAACAUGGCCAGCUCCUAAUUUGCGACACACACAGAUCCAACAACCCAGCCUUCUUCAGAUCUUAACUUAACCAAGAAAAUUUUUGGGGCUGAGAAAUUAAAUGAAAUGACUACGCUGCCACUGCUGCUUCUUAUUGCAAACUUUCUAAAGGACCACUCUACCAUAUAUAACCCUCUCCCCAUCAACUUUUUUUUUUUUUUUUUUAAUAAAUAAAAAUUCCUUUACUUUCCCCUUGUGAGUGCGCAGUGGGGUACAAUUUUAAACCCCAAAAGAAAAGAAAAAAGAACAAAAAGAUUAUGGUAAUAAUAAUGGAGUUAAUUUUUUGUUUGAAGCAAGGGGUAAAAAUGAAUACGUUAUGAUAUGGAUGUAAUUUUCAGAAUUAACCAUAAGCUUGGCUGGCCCUCACAUGCAGCCAUGUGAUGAAGAUCCCUUUUCAUUUUAAUGGGAUUUUAAGAUUUGGAGGCAGAUC